rnacentral:rRNA from 1 species
GUGGGGUAAUGGCCUACCAAGACGACGACGCGUAGCGGAUCUGAGAGGAUGAUCCGUCACAUUGGGACUGAGAUACGGCCCAGACUCCUACGGGAGGCAGCAGUGGGGAAUAUUGCGCAAUGGGCGAGAGCCUGACGCAGCGACGCCGCGUGUGGGAGGAAGCUCUUCGGGGUGUAAACCACUGUCAGGGGGGAAGAACAGCGAAAGUUCGAAUAGGACUGGCGUUUGACGGUACCCUCAAAGGAAGCGCCGGCUAACUCCGUGCCAGCAGCCGCGGUAAUACGGAGGGCGCAAGCGUUGUUCGGAAUUACUGGGCGUAAAGCGCGGGCAGGUUGUCCGCUAAGUCGUCUGUGAAACUCCGGGGCUCAACCCCGCGACAUGCAGACGAUACUGGCGGGCUGGAGAUCGGUAGAGGCUAGCGGAAUUCCUGGUGUAGCGGUGGAAUGCGUAGAUAUCAGGAAGAACACCCGUGGCGAAGGCGGCUAGCUGGGCCGAGUCUGACACUCAUCCGCGAAAGCGUGGGGAGCAAACAGGAUUAGAUACCCUGGUAGUCCACGCCGUAAACGAUGGGCACUAGAUGCCGGGCCUCUAGACGGGUUCGGUGUCGCAGUUAACGCAUUAAGUG